rnacentral:rRNA from 1 species
AACCCUGAUCCAGCCAUCCCGCGUGUGCGAUGAAGGCCUUCGGGUUGUAAAGCACUUUUGGCAGGAAAGAAACGUCAUGGGUUAAUACCCUGUGAAACUGACGGUACCUGCAGAAUAAGCACCGGCUAACUACGUGCCAGCAGCCGCGGUAAUACGUAGGGUGCAAGCGUUAAUCGGAAUUACUGGGCGUAAAGCGUGCGCAGGCGGUUCGGAAAGAAAGAUGUGAAAUCCCAGAGCUUAACUUUGGAACUGCAUUUUUAACUACCGAGCUAGAGUGUGUCAGAGAGAGGUGGAAUUCCGCGUGUAGCAGUGAAAUGCGUAGAUAUGCGGAGGAACACCGAUGGCGAAGGCAGCCUCCUGGGAUAACACUGACGCUCAUGCACGAAAGCGUGGGGAGCAAACAGGAUUAGAUACCCUGGUAGUCCACGCCCUAAACGAUGUCAACUAGCUGUUGGGGCCUUCGGGCCUUGGUAGCGCAGCUAACGCGUGAAGUUGACCGCCUGGGGAGUACGGUCGCAAGAUUAAAACUC